ensembl:lncRNA
GAAGCUUCUCGGAUGAGAGGUGAAACGUCUUCAAGCAACUUAAAGAAGUCCAGACGCUUUUCUUUGCAAACUCCUUUGACCUCAGUGUACGUUGUAAUAUUUUAAAUAUUUCUAUCUCUUGAAAGAACGCAAGGAAGAUCAUGAUGAAGAUGAGGAUGGAGAAGAGGAUGAUGAGGAUAUGGAUGAAGAUUAUGUAUGGGACAAUGAGCAGGGCACUAAGAAAAAUGAAGAUAAAAAAGCUACACAGAUUUAUAUCUCUUCUGAAGAAGAAGAAAGCGAGGAAGAUCCUGUUGAAGAUGAAGAUGAGGAUGGAGAACAAGAAGAUGAGCAUAUGGAUGAAGAUGAUGUAGGUAACGAUGAGCGUAGCACUGAGGAUGAUGAGGAUGAAGAAAGUGAUAAUGGUGAGGAUGAGACUGUGCCUGCUGUUGCCUCUAACCAUACUGACAGCAGUGGUAUCAAAGAGAGAGUAACAAGUACAAUUCCAACACCUGGAAAACAUGCAUUAGAGAUGAAGGAAGUAAAGGGUAUCGUUAACAUCCUUCCUGAGAAGACCAGACAUCAUCCUGACAUGCCAAGAUCUGAAGUCAGUGGAAAUAACAGAGAUGUUGCAACAAACACAGCAAUCAAACAGCAAAAUGUUAAACAACCUGAAGAGAAACUGAAGAAGACAACAACCGACACAAUUUCAACACCCUUGAAACCUGCACUAAAGAUCAAAGAAGUAAAGGGUGUCGUUAAUAGCCUUCCUGAGAAGGCUAGACAUCAUCCUGACAUGACAAGAUCUGAAGUCAGUGGAAAUAACAGAGAUGUUGCAACAAACACAGCAAUCAAACAGCAAAAUGUUAAGAAACAACCUGAAGAGAAACUGAAUAAGACAAUAAGUAGCACAAUUUCAAUACCUGGGAAACCUGCACAAAAUAUCAAAGAAGUAAAGGGUGUCUUUAAUAGCCUUCCUGAGAAGGCUAGACAUCAUCCUGACACGACAAGAUCUGAAGUCACUGAAAAUCCCAGAGAUGUGGCAAAAAACACAGCAAUCAAACAGCUGAAUGUUAAGAAACAACCUGAAGAGGAACUGAAGAAGACAACAACCGACACAAUUUCAACACCUGUGAAACCUGCACUAAAGAUCAAAGAAGUAAAGGGUGUCAUUAAUAGCCUUCCUGAGGUCCUUUCUGUGAACCUCUGGCUGUGUCAGAUGACCAUCAACAUAAAGAGGUCCCCUGCUCUGGCCACAGUGUAGCUGAAGUACAAUCCAUGAGGCCAGAGAUGAGUGUGAACAUGUCAGAGGCCCGGUUGCCUGGGCCCUCAGCCAGCUCUGGUUUGAAUACAAUGGAUCUUGAUCAACUGAAGAGGGAAAAAAUAAAAAUGGAAGUAAAGGUUUUAAAAUUAAAAGAAGAGUAUUACACUUUGAAAAUAAAAGAACUUAAAAAAUGAGGAUUAAUGCUUCUGUAAAGCUGACAUUGCAGACAAUAAAUUAAAAGAUCGCUGUUUACAUUCACAAG